CCAGCACCCCGAGUGGUCGGGACGAUUAUUGGGCCUAAAGCAUCCGUAGCCGGUUCUGCAAGUCCCCCGUUAAAUCCAGCUGCUCAACAGAUGGGCCGCGGAGGAUACUACAGAGCUAGGAGGCAGGAGAGGCAAGCGGUACUCAGUGGGUAGGGGUAAAAUCCGUUGAUCCAUUGAAGACCACCAGUGGCGAAGGCGGCUUGCCAGAAUGCGCUCGACGGUGAGGGAUGAAAGCUGGGGGAGCAAACCGGAUUAGAUACCCGGGUAGUCCCAGCCGUAAACGAUGCAGACUCGGUGAUGGGUUGGCUUCGCGCUAACCCAGUGCCGCAGGGAAGCCGUUAAGUCUGCCGCCUGGGUAGUACGGUCGCAAGACUG
rnacentral:rRNA from 1 species